rnacentral:tRNA from 3 species
GGAGAAGUACUCAAGUGGCUGAAGAGGUGCCCCUGCUAAGGGUAUAGGUCGGUAACACGGCGCGAGGGUUCAAAUCCCUCCUUCUCCG